rnacentral:rRNA from 2 species
UAGACCUCAGAUCAGAUAGGA